rnacentral:rRNA from 1 species
CGAACGCUGGCGGCGUGCCUAAUACAUAGCAAGUCGAGCGCGGGAAGUGGACAAUCACCCUUCGGGGUGUGCGUCCGUGGAACGAGCGGCGGAUGGGUGAGUAUCACGUGGGCAACCUGCCUGUAAGAUUGGGAUAACUCGCGGAAACGUGAGCUAAUACCGAAUGAAGUCUUUCACCGCCUAGGUGAAAGGAUGAAAGAUGGCUCUUGAGCUAUCACUUACAGAUGGGCCCGCGGCGCAUUAGCUAGUUGGUGGGGUAAAGGCCUACCAAGGCGACGAUGCGUAGCCGACCUGAGAGGGUGAUCGGCCACACUGGGACUGAGACACGGCCCAGACUCCUACGGGAGGCAGCAGUAGGGAAUCUUCCGCAAUGGACGAAAGUCUGACGGAGCAACGCCGCGUGAGUUGAUGAAGGUCUUCGGAUCGUAAAACUCUGUUGUCAGGGAAGAACAAGUUGUGUUCUAACAGGACAUGACCUUGACGGUACCUGACCAGAAAGCCCCGGCUAACUACGUGCCAGCAGCCGC